rnacentral:lncRNA from 1 species
UUUUUUUUUUUUGGAACUCUUCGAAAUCCAUCCCACAGCUGGCACAGUUGUCCGGCUCCAUUUGGCACAGCUGUGAUUCAACUGCUCUGAGUCACAUGGGCUUGAGGCUGCCACGUCUGGCUGCACAGGCCCGUAUGUGGGUGUACGUCAUGAAUAGUAACCUCUGCUCCAACUCUGGGUCCAAAAGAGAGGUCAGGACAAUAGAAAGCAUCCCAACACCCUCUCUAAGGAGUAACAUGUACUGGUGGUAGGUGCCACAUCUGCCUGAGGCCUCCAGGCAGCAAGAACCUUGUCAUCUCCCACUGAUGGCUUUGGUGAAGACAACAUGACUGGCAAGUGUCAAAAUACAGAAGUGAUCCAGGGCAAAUGAGGAACUGGCUGGUUGGCGCCAAGCAUGGGCCGUUGGAGGAUGAAAACCAUGUACUUGUGUGGUAAGCCCGAAGAGAGAGGUCUUUGCUGAUGUUUUCCACAACCAAAUUCCUAUGCAAGAGAGUGUUACAUAGAGGCCUCUGACAGCAGUGCUUCACCAACUUAUGACAAUUUGUAGAGAAAUAUCUGUUGGCUGGAACCAGUGAACUCAAGAAUUGGUGGGGGGUGCGGUGGAUCAAGCAAUCUGUGUCCUUUCAAUUGCAGUUUCUUGGUUGAUGCAUCUGUAAGACUGUAUGAGACACACUAAUGCCUGUUGAAGAAAGGUUUUCAGUAAUGUUAUUUUGAGACAAAACAAUGAAUUAAAUUUGCUUAAGGAAAAAGAUGGAAGUGGAA